rnacentral:rRNA from 1 species
UGGGGAAUAUUGCACAAUGGGGGAAACCCUGAUGCAGCGACGCCGCGUGAGCGAUGAAGGCUUUCGAGUCGUAAAGCCCUUUCCUAUGGGAAGAUAAUGACGGUACCAUAGAAGAAAGCCCCCGCUAAUUACGUGCCAGUAGCCGCCGUAAUACGUAAGUGGCGAGCGUUGUCCGGAAUUAUUGGGCGUAAAGAGUGCGUAGGCGGCAAAUUAAUUCAGAUGAGAAAGCUAAGGGCUCAACCCAUAGAUUGCAUCUGGAACUGAUAUGCUUGAGUCAAGGAGAGGAAAGUGGAAUUCCUAGUGUAGCGGUGGAAUGCGUAGAUGUUAGGAGAAAUACCGAUGGCGAAGGAGACUUUCUGGACUUGAACAGACGCUGAGGAACGAAAGCAUGGGGAGCAAACAGG